UACGUAGGAGGCGAGCGUUGUCCGGAAUUACUGGGCGUAAAGCGUGCGCAGGCGGUUUGUUAAGUCCGCUGUGAAAUCCCCGAGCUCAACUUGGGAAUUGCAGUGGAUACUGGCAAGCUGGAGUAUGGUAGAGGAAGGUGGAAUUCCCGGUGUAGCAGUGAAAUGCGUAGAGAUCGGGAGGAACACCAGUGGCGAAGGCGGCCUUCUGGACCAAUACUGACGCUCAUGCACGAAAGCGUGGGGAGCAAACAGG
rnacentral:rRNA from 1 species